rnacentral:rRNA from 1 species
CCCCCUUGUGGUCGGUGUACAGGUGGUGCAUGGCUGUCGUCAGCUCGUGUCGUGAGAUGUUGGGUUAAGUCCCGCAACGAGCGCAACCCUUGUCCUGUGUUGCCAGCAUGCCCUUCGGGGUGAUGGGGACUCACAGGAGACCGCCGGGGUCAACUCGGAGGAAGGUGGGGACGACGUCAAGUCAUCAUGCCCCUUAUGUCUUGGGCUGCACACGUGCUACAAUGGCCGGUACAAUGAGCUGCGAUACCGUGAGGUGGAGCGAAUCUCAAAAAGCCGGUCUCAGUUCGGAUUGGGGUCUGCAACUCGACCCCAUGAAGUCGGAGUUGCUAGUAAUCGCAGAUCAGCAUUGCUGCGGUGAAUACGUUCCCGGGCCUUGUACACACCGCCCGUCACGUCACGAAAGUUGGUAACACCCGAAGCCGGUGGCCCAACCCCUUGUGGGAGGGAGCUGUCGAAGGUGGGACUAGC